rnacentral:tRNA from 1 species
ACCUGUAUGGCUUAGUCAGUAGAGCACAUGACUCUUGAUCUUAGGGUUGUGAGUUCAAGCCCCAUUAUAGGCA